UGGACCCAAAUGUCAUAUAAUUUUAAUUGGGGAUUUUUAUAAAAUUAAGAAAGUUUGGCUAAAGGGCUUAUUUGAAAAGAAUUUUAGUAUUUUGGGUCCAAGUAUAAUUUUUAAAAAUAAAUAAAUAAAUAAAUAAAAUAAAAAUAAAAUAAAAGGCUUCAGCCUUUCAUUUUACCCGAGCCCCUCUCUCUCUCUCCUCAGAAACCCUCUCUCUCUCUCUCCUCAGAAACUCUCUCUCUCUCUCUCUCUCUCUCUCUCCUCUGCGUAUUACUGUUGCCGACGACGCAGGAGUACUUUCCGGCCACCAUUUUUAGCCACGCGCCGGACCGUUGGAUUCAGAGGCCUCCGAACUAUCGACCAACGCGGGAAUCUAGAGCUCACUCGCCGAUUAAACGCCUCAACCACUCGAUUUAAGUUCGGCCACCCCGCGACUUCAAAGUUGCGAUUCGGCCACCUCGGGCAUCCGUUUGCCGAUCCGUCACCACCAUCGUGCUCCUCGUGUUGUGGGCUUCAAAACCCAAUAACUUGUUCCUACAUCUACCAUAGUUGGGUGGUGGGCCCACCACGAGCCACCGCGAUCCACCGUAGAUCGACGGUCGAAACUUAGUGUUCGAGGUUCCGAAGUACGUUUUGAGUCUCAGAAAAUCAUCGUUUGACUUAUUGUGGAACCCGAUCAUUUUGGAUUUGUAUGGAUUUGAUUGAUUGACUCUUGGUGCGGAAUUUUAAAAUAAGCUAAGGACCUAAGGUGUGGCUUUAGCUGUUGAGCAACUUGUGGAGCACGGACUCAGUAGCAAUGCAAUAAUGGUUUUAGAGUUUUCAUAUGGCUGCCUUAAAUUUAAAGUAUUCAUACGUGUAAUAAUUUCUUCUAAUAAGUUUAUAUAAAAGUUUUAAAUUUUUCUGUAUUUCUUCGUAUCAUUUUAUUUAAUUCUUUUGGUCAAGUGCCUUACAUACUCGUAAACCCUAGAAUUACGAGUAUGUGGCAGACGUACCCUACCUUAGGGACGUUACAAAUGGUAUCAGAGCUUUGAGUUUGUAGAUGUCGUAUACUCGUUAUGUUAUUAGAUUUUGGGAUCUGAAAUGCUACUGAGUUCCGCCACAAGACAAGCCACACGUUAAUGGUUAGUAUAAUUUAUCCAUAUUUUAGUUAAUGUAUGUUAAUGAUGUUGUAUAAUUGUAUUAGAAACUCAUUGUGUUAUUGAGUUUCCAUGAUAUAAGUAUGAGUUUGGAUUAAAUGAAUAUUCUCAUGCACGGUAGAGAAAUUGAAGUUUGUUAUUUAUCUGAAUGCAUGCCUUUAUUAUUGAUGUGAUAAAUAAUUGAUGAUUUAUCGAUGUCGAUGUUUGGAUUGUUAAUUGAUAUUCUCAAGCUUUGAAAGUGAUCUAUCAGUUCAGUUAGUGUGUUAAGGGUUAAUAUGUCAGGUUAGUGUUUUGGAGAGCAGAGUUUUAGGUUGUUGCUGAGAGCACACACAAUAAGAGACUUUAGUGAAACAGUAGUAA